GGCCCGUUAGCUCAGUUGGUUAGAGUGUCGUGCUAAUAACGCGAAGGUCGUGGGUUCGAUCCCCCCACGGGCCA
rfam:Stegodyphus mimosarum contig45045, whole genome shotgun sequence.